GGAGAGGUGGCCGAGUGGUCGAAGGCGCACGCCUGGAAAGUGUGUAGGCAGGGAACUGUCUCCAGGGUUCGAAUCCCUGUCUCUCCG
rnacentral:tRNA from 1 species